GACGAACGCUGGCGGCGUGCUUAACACAUGCAAGUCGAACGGAAAGGCCCUGCUUGCAGGGUACUCGAGUGGCGAACGGGUGAGUAACACGUGGGUGAUCUGCCCUGCACUUCGGGAUAAGCCUGGGAAACUGGGUCUAAUACCGGAGAGGAGCCAUUUUUAGUGUGAUGGUUGGAAAGUUUUUUCGGUGUAGGAUGAGCUCGCGGCCUAUCAGCUUGUUGGUGGGGUAAUGGCCUACCAAGGCGGCGACGGGUAGCCGGCCUGAGAGGGUGGACGGCCACAUUGGGACUGAGAUACGGCCCAGACUCCUACGGGAGGCAGCAGUGGGGAAUAUUGCACAAUGGGCGCAAGCCUGAUGCAGCGACGCCGCGGGGGGGAUGACGGCCUUCGGGUUGUAAACUCCUUUCGCUAGGGACGAAGCUUUUUGUGACGGUACCUAGAUAAGAAGCACCGGCUAACUACGUG
rnacentral:rRNA from 1 species